AACAAACUAUUUAUUAUCAGGAUGUGAGUAGGCGAAGAGUGGGUUGGGACAAAGCUCGGGUCUCCCUGUUGCGAUGGCAGUUGGUGCAUUUAAUAGCAGGUGGCCGUUCCUGCCUCACUGCGGUGAAAUUGUACCAUCAGCGGUGGUCACCGUGAUUAUAACUUAGAUCUCAAAAUAACGUAGCUGCGGGCGGAGGGUUUGCGAUGUUUAAGGCCGUGCAUCCCCCUCCCGCCCAGCCCGUGUCCCUUGCCCGCGUGGGCCGGAGAAAGCUCCCUGGCGGUGGCCCCGUUUCCCUGGUGCUAAUCGUCCUUGAACGGGAGACAAGCGCGCUCUCUGGGGUGUCACUUGUCGCCAGCCGGUCUCCCUCUGCCCCGCACCUGUUUCCGAUCUGUCACCCGGGCCAUCAUAUUUUUCCUCUUAAAGAGGCAGAUUGGCCAUUGAUGGUGUGACUGGAACCCUCACCGCAGGGUCCUGCAGACCCCGCUGCUCGGCACCGCCUCCCACCCGGAGCAGAGUUCUGCCUGGAAACGAGCUUGCGCCGGGUCAGGGCGGGAAGGCCAAGAUGGACUUGUCACUCAGAAGAAAAGGUGUCUGGAUCGCAGGUGGCCUGUGCCUUCUCUCGUCUCCCGUCCUCUGGCGUGUGCUCCGGUCCGUGAUGACCCGGGGAGGUCACCGACAGGCGCCUGCUCUUGAGGACACCCAGUGGUUGCACCUUCCAGUUGUUGAAACCAACGUCUUGAGGCUGCUGUCCGCCUGUUCUCAGCCACUGACUCCAGGGCAGAGGAGAAGCCAGGAAACAAACCAUUGGAACUAAUGAUUUUCUCAAACAUAUAAAAAGGUUGUAAAAUUAUAAACCGAAUGCUGUGUGUCAGCGUACCUGAGAUACUUAAUUUCUUUGUGGUAUAAUACAUAACGGUUUUAUAGUCUGUAGCUUAUUAACUGUAGUCACAAGUCUGGACUCUUGAAUGGAUUUGACUUUCCACUAUCUUUAGGUGGUGGACAAUAGACGGGGAAGGUGGUAAUCCAGGGACCAGCUUGUUCAGCUUUCAUCGUGGUGCUCGGUAAUUCUGCAGGUGUUUUUACGCACAUGGCACUUAGAAAAUGGGAGGUGAGCCGUGGUUACGGAGCGCACAGAUUAGCGUGAGACCACAAGCGUGGAUUCCACGUCCCCUGCGCCACCUCUGUGACACCAAGCGUGUUGUCCAGCCUCUCACCUGCCUCCUCGUCUGGGGUCAAGAAUACCGACCCCGCAGACUUGCAGUUGUCUAAAGCAGGCUACGCCGAGCGUGCUGCAGAGAGAGGGCCCACAGACCCCACGGUGGGUGUGCGUUGUCCGUGGCGCCGGCAUCCCCGCCGUGGCCUGACUGCUCUCCUGCCGAGAGCCCUGCCGUCCGCCUUCCCGAG
rnacentral:lncRNA from 1 species